UAUAAACAAAAGGGUUGCCACUCCUCGCCAUGGCAUUUUAUCUAACUAGCUUCAAAAGGUGUCUAACUCCCCCCAUAAAACACUAAGAAUUAAUAAUAGAAUGAAAUACGAGUACUAGAAAUCUUAAAUUCCGGUAAAUUAAAGGAAAUGCAAGUCGGAUGUUCAAUGACACUUCAGGUUAGAUAAUGAUUUACUCAGAUAUAAACUUUUUAGUACACGUAUUUCAUCUCUUUAUUAUUUCUAAGUGCUUCAUGGUGGCGGUGAAAGGAAAAAUAGAGAAAUUAAAGCAGAGAAAUGAACUAAAUAUCCCAAUAAUGACAUCCCGUUGCAUAAGCUUCAGCUCCUUUUGUCAACACCUGAGCUCAGCAGUCAGCAUCUCUUAUCUCCUGAGCAUCUUGAGGUUGAUGCUGACACUUCUGAGGGAGCGGAAUCUUGGACAGUGAAGCAGGAGGUGUUGUGCAUCUUCAUCUCCUGAGCUCAGCAUCUUCAUCUCCUGAGCUCAGCAUCUUUAUCUUCUGAGCUCAGCAUUUACAUCUUCUGAGCUCAGCAUCAUCUACAUCUUCUGAGCUCAGCAUCCUCUUCAUAUUCAGAGCUCAGCAUCUUCACCAUCUUCUGAGCUCAGCAUCGUCUUCGUCUCCUGAGCUCAGCAUCAUUUUUGCCUUCUGAGCUCAGCAUCAUCAUCAUCUUCUGAGCUCAGCAUCUUCAUCUUCUGAGCUUAGCAUCAUCCACAUUCUGAGGAACAUGGAAGAGGUUGUCAUCAGUGCCAGCGUUAACCUCACGAGACGAGCCACCCCCUAAUGAGCCCAGCCUCCCUUGCCCCUUAAGAAAUCAUUCGGUCAUGGCGAGUCAGAAGGAGAAGCCACAUCAGCACGUGGCUGGGACAUGUAUGGGGAUGUGUCCUAACGCUGAGGUGCGGCUGCGGCAAAGAGAGAAGAUGAUUCACGCCCUCGAGAUGGCGGUUGACUUUAAUGGCCGUCGCCUGAACUACCCUCAACCCCGGGCCAUGGUCAAGAUGUUCUCCCGCCCCGCAGCUGGCCAGGAGGUCAAGGCCUCGGACGUGCGGCCAGUGCCAGUGUUGCUGAAGACCGUCAGAUACCUCCUGGCCAAUGUGUGUUGCGUGAAGGACCUGCCGUGGGCGUUGGUGUACCAGUUCGUGUACGACCGACUGCAGGCCAUCAGACAGGACUUGUGUGUGCAGGGUGUGCGGAACAGCAUGGCCCUGCAGAUCUACCAAGCGGCUGCCAGGUUUUAUGUCUAUGCCCACUAUAGAACCUGUGAACACGACCUGAAGGACUUCGACCCGUACCUGAACCUGAAGCAGCUCGGCGAAACACUGUCCACCGUGAUGUCUCUCUACCAAGAACUGGACUCGGGGAACACGAUUGCAGAGUCCGACCGAGCUAACCUUGAGGCUUACAUAUACGACGACCAGUACGAGGAGAGUGACGAUGAUAGCGACGUUGACAGCAGGGGUGACGAAGGCGCAGAGACAAAGAUUGUGCAGGAUACGAAAGCGAGCGAGAAAGACGCAUCAGCUAAGACAGAAUCCUCCGGGGAAAACGACGAUGGAAAGACGGACUCACAAACCUCAGAGGAUGGAGUUGCUGAGUCAGACAACGCCGAGGAGAACGAAAGAGUGUCUCCAUCCAGAGUUAAAGACACCAGAUGUAGUAGUAACAGUGGGAGUGUGAUAUCAUGCUCUAGUUCGAGAGAGGAAGCAGCAGCCUUGUACUUGCUGGUCAACUUGGGCAAUGAGGAAGCCAUAAUGAGCGUUCUGAGUCUUCCGCAGAAUGUUAAAGGCACCAAACUUGUGGGUCUGGCGCUGAGGAUGAACAUGGCCUGGCUCACCCACAACUACUACAGGGUGCUCAAGCUGUCCACACUCCUGCCACCCUUGUUCCAGUGUGCCUUCCACCCUCACAUGACUUCAAUCCAGAGGAAAUCUCUGGGCAUAAUUAACCAGUCACACAGCUGUAAGGGUCAAUCAUACUGUCUGGAGGAGUUGUCCGAGGCGCUGCUCUACGACAGCGCUGAUGGCCUGGCUGAAGCAUGUGCCCACUAUGGAUUGGCUGUCAAGGAUGGGGGCAUCGUCUUCACUAAAGGAACAAUCAGCUGGGAUGCCCCACUGAUGAAGGCGUCCCAUAGCAAAAGGAUUGAAGGCCACCUUGCCAGUGUUCCCUUACCAGAGCUGCUGCUUCCAACCCUGACAUAGUGGUAGUGUGAGGGAAGGAGUCUGAAGUGUGAUGCGCUGGUCUCAUGUUCUGCCACAACUUGACUAUUUACACAUAAAUAUAAAAUACAACCUCAUCAGCCUUCAGGAAACUUGACCAUCUUCUGGACAGGCCUCACCCCGGGCAGCUC